rnacentral:rRNA from 1 species
GAUGAACGCUGGCGGCGUGCCUAAUACAUGCAAGUCGAGCGAACAGACGAGGAGCUUGCUCCUCUGACGUUAGCGGCGGACGGGUGAGUAACACGUGGAUAACCUACCUAUAAGACUGGGAUAACUUCGGGAAACCGGAGCUAAUACCGGAUAAUAUAUUGAACCGCAUGGUUCAAUAGUGAAAGACGGUUUUGCUGUCACUUAUAGAUGGAUCCGCGCCGCAUUAGCUAGUUGGUAAGGUAACGGCUUACCAAGGCGACGAUGCGUAGCCGACCUGAGAGGGGGAUCGGCCACACUGGAACUGAGACACGGUCCAGACUCCUACGGGAGGCAGCAGUAGGGAAUCUUCCGCAAUGGGCGAAAGCCUGACGGAGCAACGCCGCGUGAGUGAUGAAGGUCUUCGGAUCGUAAAACUCUGUUAUUAGGGAAGAACAAAUGUAUAAGUAACUAUGCACGUCUUGACGGUACCUAAACAGAAAGCCACGGCUAACUACGUG